UCUCUCCAAUCCUAAGUUGUAUGAAGAGUUCUUCACACAGACACUUACAUGCACACACAUUCUCUGAGCAGGUCUGCUCAGAAUUGCCUGGCUGUGACUUUGUUCUCAAAAUAUGUUGGUGUUUGGCAGCUAUGUCAGACUAUCAGCCAGUCCCUAAAUACACCUUAUUAUUUCUCGUCAUUUAUGUCUCUGGGAUGAAAAAUAUAUCAGCCUGGUUGGUAAGAACAGAGUCGCUAAAUGUGUUAAAGAAAUAAAGGGUUUCAUACAGGAUUGGGGCUUACCCAAACAUGGGAGGGGCUGGGAGAGUCAUGGUCUGAAGGCUGCAGUUAAAGGGUAGGAGAAACAGUCACCUACAACUCAGAACUGGAAAGACUGGAACUCUUGGGCGUGCCUGAGAAGCUGCUGUGACUGCCUGCCAGAGUGGGAGUGCCCAGUGAGGUUUGCUAAACCACAUGCUCCCUAAAACUGCGGUGUGAGCCAACAUGACCUCCCAAGAGCUUUCCUCCUGCCUUCCCACCACAGGCUUCUCAUUGGUAAUAAGAUUCAUGUUCAAACCUGGAACCUCUCAGGGAAAGGAGUGCUAGGAAGUGGCUCCAAGUCUCAGAUGGGACUCCUGGGGGUGCCACGUUGAUAACAGGUUAUAUGUAUUUUGAAACAGGAAAUCUCGCCAUCCUCACCAAAGCCAUUUCCUUGAGAGGAUUUUAUCUGGUUUGUCUCCUUGACUCCAGGCAGGGCUCCAUUCCAACCAGAUGGAAGAAUGCAGACAUCUCACAUCAUUUACACCCAGAAGGCUGUCAGCAGCAGCGCUCAGGGAGUGAGAGUGUUUAAUCUCGAGGAGGAAAUAGAAUGUAUACACACCCUGCAAACUGAGAUGUUUUACGUUGGCUCUGGCUCCUACCGCCCCCCAUGUGUGGCAGCAGCUACCAAGACUCUACUGUGAAUCCCCAUGACUGCAAUGAGAAUGAACAAAA
rnacentral:lncRNA from 1 species